rnacentral:rRNA from 1 species
AACGAACGCUGGCGGCAUGCCUAACACAUGCAAGUCGAACGAGACCUUCGGGUCUAGUGGCGCACGGGUGCGUAACGCGUGGGAAUCUACCCUUGGGUUCGGAAUAACUCAGAGAAAUUUGAGCUAAUACCGGAUGAUGUCGCAAGACCAAAGAUUUAUCGCCCAAGGAUGAGCCCGCGUAGGAUUAGCUUGUUGGUGAGGUAAAAGCUCACCAAGGCGACGAUCCUUAGCUGGUCUGAGAGGAUGAUCAGCCACACUGGGACUGAGACACGGCCCAGACUCCUACGGGAGGCAGCAGUGGGGAAUAUUGGGCAAUGGGCGCAAGCCUGAUCCAGCAAUGCCGCGUGGAUGAUGAAGGCCUUAGGGUUGUAAAGUCCUUUCGGCGGGGACGAUGAUGACGGUACCCGGAGAAUAAGUCCCGGCUAACUUCGUGCCAGCAGCCG